UAAAUCAUGAGGGGAGGGAAUACAGUAUGCUGCUGCGCCGUACGCAACGCCAGUGACGGAGCCCGCGGAUGGCGCCGUGACGGGAUUUUCCCCGAGCCGUGGUUCGGGUUGCAGUUAUGCUCCUGAUCCGUGACUCAGGAACUGGAAUCUCCGGCAGUCGGCGGUGGGCAGCCUAGUCAAUGAUGACUCAGACCAAAAACGGAGCUGUCUCCCACCUCUCGCCAAGCUUUUUUGUAUUGUGCGUUGAUGCCCGCGGAGAUCUGCGGUGGAAGGAAUACACGGCGGCGAGAUUCGGCAAUGGAGUUCCUGAUUCAACCAAUUAGGAGGAGCGCGGUGAUGGAAGAGGUGAACGACAACCAGCUACCGGUGGAGCCACUGCACUACCCAGCGGUGGCGACAGCAGCCGAGGAGCUGCCCCCAAUGGGGGCAGAUCUGUGCGGCGGAUGGGGCAGUCGCAGCGGAGGGGAAUGAUGAACCGCAGGCAUCUAAGCAAUCUAUUGGUCAGAUUGAUCCAAAAACUCUAGGCUAGACUCGCAGGGUUAGAAUUGGAGAUGCUGCUCCUGGAAGGGCGCCUUGCCCUGGGCGAACCAGCGCCCUUGAGAAGGCAAUAAGGGGGUUCGGUGACAAGCCGGGAAGCAUUGUAAUCGUGUCAGCACUGGGUACAAGCUUUGAUACACUCAGGGAGGCCUAUGAUUUUUAGAAUCUCAACUCAUGGGAGAGUAGGCUGAAUGUGGAGAGAACAAAAUGCAUGCAGGAAAUUGUUUGCGGAUGUGUGGGUAAAGCUGGUGUGGAAAACACUAGAUCAUGUUGUUGAUUGAGUGCCCGACAUUAAUAAGACUGCUCCGCUCAAAGGACAAUGGGUGGUACAUAGCUGAGCAUUGUGGAUAGCACAAUCAUUCGCUUUCUCCCACAUAUGGCCAGACAAUACACUGGCCUUCACACAAGCACAUUGAUGCGUACAUCAGAGAGUUGGUAGAGCAAUUGCGGCAGAACAAUGUGAAUCUAGCCAAAGUACACAGCAUAAUUGGAAGCUUCUUUGGUUCAAUGGAAAAGGUUCCUUUCACAAAAAGAGCUCUGAAAAAUUUGUAUGGUAAAAUCAAUAGAGAGCAAGCAGAGGAUGAUGUGAGGAAGACCAUGGAGGUGUUCGCGGAUCUGGGCUCAAGAGAUCCGCACUUCACUUAUCAUGUCCAGGCAGACCAGGAUGGUUGGAUAACGACUCUUAUGUGGGCAAAUGGGAGCAGCAGGUUGUAGUACACAUUCUUUGAAGAUGUUGUUACCUUCGAUACGACAUACAGAACAAACCUGUACAACAUGCCAUUUGGUCUGUUCGUGGGUGUGAAUAAUCAUUUCCAGAGCAUCGUCCUAGCCGGUGUUCUGGUCCGUGAUGAAAAGGUCGAGACAUUUUAGUGGGUUUUCACAGAAUUCAUUAGGAUGAUGGGGGGUGGGGGGGGAGUGCAUCGAAGACAAUUCUAACAGAUCAAAGUCGGGUGAUGGAGGUCGCCAUUAAAGAUGUGAUGCCCCAGACGGCACACCAUUGGUGCAAGUGGCAUGUGUUGAAGAAGGCAAAAGAAUCACUCAGUUCAUUGUACACGAAGAAGAGCGAGUUUAGGGAAGAGUUCCACAAGGUAGUAAAUCACAUGCUUACAAAUCGAUGAAUUCGAGGAAGCUUGGAAGAUAUUGGUGGAGGAACGGCUACAUGACGCAGCUAUAUGAUAUAAGACACAAGUGGGCGAAGCCUAAUUUUAAAGGUGUUUUCUGUGCUAAGAUGACCAGCACCCAGCGCAGCGAAAGUGCAAACCACAUGUUGAAGAACUAUGUUCUGCCUGGUUGUCCAAUGCAUAUGUUUGUCAAGAAAGACAUGAGACUUCAGUCUACGAGGAGAAGCAGACACGAAUAGGUAGACCACUGUACAGAGCAACCUUAGCUAUAGAGAGACAUGCUGGUAAAAUAUAGACACGGGUUAUGUUUGAGCAGUUUGGACAUAUUCUCUAUGAGUGCAGCGCAUACCAAGUGGACAAUCUUGAGAAGGGAAAAUUGUAUCUUGCCAUUCAUAUCGAGGCUGCUAGGAGAGAAAAGUGGUGUGGGGUGUCAUAUAAGGUAACUAUUCUCGAAGGUGGUGAUGAAUUCGACUGCGAGUGCGAGCAAUUUGCACACAUGGGACUACUUUGCAGCCAUGUUUUGAAGAUACUGCAGAAACACAUUGUGAAGCGAUGGACCAGGGACGCACGGGACAUACUACCGGCUCACCUUACUCAAUAUCAGAGAGAUAAUGCACACAAAAAUCCAUCCAGCUUCAGGCAUUUCAAUAUGUACAUGCAUGCCAUGGAGUUGGUGCGGAAGGACGAUGCAAGUGUGGAAGCAUAUGAGAAAUUCAUGACUCUCAUUAAGAAUUGCAUGGUCCAAAUGGAACCAUUUGCAGAAAUUAGGGAUGGGCUGGGUUUGGAGGACAGGGUUGGUCAACAUGGAGAUGUUGUUAACCAGCUGACAACACAUACAACAGUUGUUGCAGCAAGUGGAGGUGUAGGCAUGGGGACUCUGAAUGAUGAUGCUACCUCUGCAAAUGAGAGUGGGAACAGACUCACUGGUUUGUUGGCGCCAAAGAAAAGGAAAGAAAUGGAGCGCUCGACAAAUAGCCGCGAGAAGGCACCGUACGAGGGGCCAGCAAACGGACAAGGUUCUGCAGCACAUGUCGGCAGCAGGGGUACAAGAGGACUACCUGCCCGGACUGGGGUGAUGCGCCGAAGCCUGUUCGCAAACCAGCGAGGUGCAAAAGUUGUGGAAUUGAAGGUCAUAGGCGAAACAACUGCCACAAAGUGGGUGAUCUGCGGGUGAUUGGCAUGUGAGGACUUGGAAGAAACUAUCUGUUAAGACUACAAAUCUGUAGAACUAAAUGUGUGCUUGGGUAGUUCCGUCAGUAGAACUUUUCUAGAUUCAUGUUUGCUGAGUGUAUUCAGCAGGUGCUAUGAAUGCCAAAAAUCAGUUAUGUAUUAUCUGAAAAUAAUGCAUGCUUGAACUGGUCUGAAUCUAAACGUUGGAGGGUUUGCAUAAAUGAACGUCCAGAUUUAUGAAUUUUUGUACACCCUGGUGAUGCAUUUUGAAGUUGUGAGCAGUAAGUUGGUGUACAUAUUUUUGAUAUUGUUGGCACUAUGUUGAUGCACUGUGGAAAUUUCAUGACUGGCAAACGUGACUUCCGACAUAAUGAAAUCCUGAAGUCUGAAUUUUUCCAUAGAUCUGGAAGUGAAUUCUGAGAUCCUGAAGCUAAUCAAAUUUCAUAUAAGCUGGUGCAUGUGUUUUGCUGGGCUGCAAUAUAAAUUGUCAGAACUGCUGUGUGAUCAUGGUGUGUGCUCAUUGGAAAAUCAAAUUUGAGCAGAUUUUGGUAUGCUUGCCUAUUGCGGAGUCCCAUGCAGCUAAAUAUUCUGACACGUAGCACUGUGCAUUAUUGACAGUUGUAUGCCUGUGGGUGGCGUCGCGCCCAUUGCUGUACUGACCCCUUUCGAAUUUCAAGCACCAAGAGCGGGGAUAACAGGAGCAUCAAACAGAUUUGAAGCGACGCAGAGCGCAGGGGGUGAGCCAUUCCUCUGUAUUGGUAAACCCAAGUCUGACUAUUACAAGAUAUUGAGCGAGGAGAAAGCGGAUGAAUGGAUCAAGAGGAGUCAGAUUAGUAGGCUGCUGGGAAGCUGAGCAGUAAUAAAUGGGUACAGCCGGUGUUAGUCCAGAAUCUGCGCCCUACAGGCCCAGUCUGUUGGUGGACGUCUGAUCCAUAGCCCAGGUAACUCACGCCGUAUCGAGCCUACAAUGACAGAAGUGGGCCCUUGUAACUAUUCACCACAGCAAAUACGGGAAUAAUACCUGGGCCUAUACAGGAGGGAUUGUGGAUCACGAGGAUUGCCGGCGGGUGGGAUACCGCGACCACCUGUGCUCGAGCACAGAAGAUCACUUUCACAUAAUUAUUCACUUUUCUUUCAAUUGCUCGAUAGUAAUUUGUUCACCCACCGUAAUACUUAUACUAUCUUGAGAGAAUCCCCUAGUGA